rnacentral:rRNA from 1 species
UACAGAGGGUGCGAGCGUUAAUCGGAAUUACUGGGCGUAAAGCGUGCGUAGACGGUUACAUAAGUCGGGUGUGAAAGCCCCGGGCUCAACCUGGGAAUUGCAUUCGAGACUGCGUAGCUAGGGUGCGGAAGAGGGAAGCGGAAUUUCCGGUGUAGCGGUGAAAUGCGUAGAUAUCGGAAGGAACACCAGUGGCGAAAGCGGCUUCCUGGUCCAGCACCGACGUCAGGCACCGAAAGCGUGGGGAGCAAACAGG